rnacentral:rRNA from 1 species
AUUGAACGCUAGCGGUAUGCCUUACACAUGCAAGUCGAACGAGUGGCGAACGGGUGAGUAAUGUAUCGGAACGUGCCCAGUAGCGGGGGAUAACUACGCGAAACGUAGCUAAUACCGCAUACUAUUGGAGCGGCCGAUAGCGGAUAAGCUAGUUGGUGGAGUGACGGCCGACCAAGGCGACGAUCCGUAGCUGGUUUGAGAGGACGACCAGACACAAUGGGACAUCAAAACGGCCCGGCCUCCUACGGAAGUCAGCAGUGGGGAAUUUUUGACAAUGGGGGAAGCCCUAAUCCAGCCGUCCCGCAUGUGCGAUGAAGGCCUUCGGGUUGUAAAGCACUUUUGGCAGGAAGGCGGUACCUGCAGAGUAAGCACCGUCUAACUACGUGCCAGCAGCCGCGGUAAUUC